rnacentral:rRNA from 1 species
GACGAACGCUGGCGGCGUGCUUAACACAUGCAAGUCGAGCGAGGUCCAUACCGUGGCAACACGGAGGAAGGCCUAGCGGCGAACGGGUGAGUAACACGUGAGCAACCUGCCCCGAAGACCGGGAUAACACCGGGAAACCGGUGCUAAUACCGGAUGCCCUCGUCGGGCCACAUGGCCUGAUGAGGAAAUGGAUUCCGCUUCGGGAGGGGCUCGCGGCCUAUCAGCUUGUUGGUGGGGUAACGGCCCACCAAGGCUACGACGGGUAGCUGGUCUGAGA